rnacentral:rRNA from 1 species
UAGGGAAUCUUCGGCAAUGGACGAAAGUCUGACCGAGCAACGCCGCGUGAGUGAAGAAGGUUUUCGGAUCGUAAAACUCUGUUGUUAGAGAAGAACAAGGACGUUAGUAACUGAACGUCCCCUGACGGUAUCUAACCAGAAAGCCACGGCUAACUACGUGCCAGCAGCCGCGGUAAUACGUAGGUGGCAAGCGUUGUCCGGAUUUAUUGGGCGUAAAGCGAGCGCAGGCGGUUUCUUAAGUCUGAUGUGAAAGCCCCCGGCUCAACCGGGGAGUGUCAUUGGAAACUGGGAGACUUGAGUGCAGAAGAGGAGGGUGGAAUUCCAUGUGUGGCGGUGAAAUGCGUAGAUAUAUGGAGGAACACCAGUGGCGAAGGCGGCUCUCUGGUCUGUAACUGACGCUGAGGCUAGAAAGCGUGGGGAGCAAACAGG